rnacentral:rRNA from 1 species
CUUUACUAUAGCUUUGCAGUGGCACGCGAACUGUCAUGUGUAGCAUAGGUGGGACCCUUUGAAGUUCCGGCGCCAGCCGGGAUGGAGGGGUCAGUGAAAUACCACCCUUGACUUUUCUCGUGUCUAACGGUCUUCCAUUAUCUGGAAGCCGGACCCUGCAUGGUGGGUAGUUUGACUGGGGCGGUCGCCUCCCAAAUUGUAACGGAGGCGCGCGAUGGUAAGCUCAAGACGGUCGGAAAUCGUCUUCAAGAGUGUAAUGGCAUAAGCUUGCCUGACUGCGAGACUGACGAGUCGAGCAGAGCCGAAAGGCGGUCAUAGUGAUCCGGUGGUUCCACAUGGAAGGGCCAUCGCUCAACGGAUAAAAGGUA